rnacentral:rRNA from 1 species
UACAGAGGGUGCAAGCGUUGUUCGGAAUCAUUGGGCGUAAAGCGCGUGUAGGCGGCUACUUAAGUCUGGUGUGAAAGCCCGGGGCUUAACCCCGGAAGUGCACUGGAUACUGGGUAGCUCGAGGACGGGAGAGGAUAGUGGAAUUCCUGGUGUACCGGUGAAAUGGGUAGAUAUCAGGAAGAACAUCAGUGGCGAAGGCGGCUAUCUGGCCCGUAUCUGACGCUGAGACGCGAAAGCGUGGGGAGCAAACAGG